AUUGAACGCUGGCGGCAUGCCUAACACAUGCAAGUCGAACGGCAGCACAGCCGUAGCAAUACGGUGGGUGGCGAGUGGCGGACGGGUGAGGAAUGCAUCGGAAUCUGCCCGGUCGUGGGGGAUAACGCAUCGAAAGGUGCGCUAAUACCGCAUGAGAUCGAGAGAUGAAAGCGGGGGACCGCAAGGCCUCGCGCGAUCGGAUGAGCCGAUGCCGGAUUAGCUAGUUGGCGGGGUAAAGGCCCACCAAGGCGACGAUCCGUAGCUGGUCUGAGAGGAGUAUAAGCCACAGUGGGACUGAGACACGGCCCAGACUCCUACGGGAGGCAGCAGUGGGGAAUAUUGGACAAUGGGCGAAAGCCUGAUCCAGCAAUGACGCGUGUGUGAAGAAGGCCUUCGGGUUGUAAAGCACUUUUAUCGGGAGCGAAAAGCGGACGGUGAAUACCCGUCCGUGCUGACGGUACCCGAGGAAUAAGCACCGGCUAACUUCGUGCCAGCCGCCGCCGUAACAC
rnacentral:rRNA from 1 species